GCCCGUGUGGCUCAGGGGACAGAGCAUCGGCCUGCGGACUGAAGGGUCCCAGGUUCGAUUCCGGUCAAGGGCA
rfam:Myotis davidii contig168878, whole genome shotgun sequence.